rnacentral:rRNA from 1 species
UACGAAGGGGGCUAGCGUUGCUCGGAAUCACUGGGCGUAAAGGGUGCGUAGGCGGGUCUUUAAGUCAGGGGUGAAAUCCUGGAGCUCAACUCCAGAACUGCCUUUGAUACUGCGGUGCUUGAGGACUGGAGAGGAGACUGGAAUUUACGGUGUAGCAGUGAAAUGCGUAGAGAUCGUAAGGAAGACCAGUGGCGAAGGCGGGUCUCUGGACAGUUCCUGACACUGAGGCACGAAGGCCAGGGGAGCAAACGGG